rnacentral:rRNA from 1 species
AACGAACGCUGGCGGCAGGCUUAACACAUGCAAGUCGAGCGCCCCGCAAGGGGAGCGGCAGACGGGUGAGUAACGCGUGGGAAUCUACCCAUCUCUACGGAAUAACGCAUGGAAACGUGUGCUAAUACCGUAUACGUCCUUCGGGAGAAAGAUUUAUCGGAGAUGGAUGAGCCCGCGUUGGAUUAGCUAGUUGGUGGGGUAAAGGCCUACCAAGGCGACGAUCCAUAGCUGGUCUGAGAGGAUGAUCAGCCACACUGGGACUGAGACACGGCCCAGAGUCCUACGGGAGGCAGCAGUGGGGAAUAUUGGACAAUGGGCGCAAGCCUGAUCCAGCCAUGCCGCGUGAGUGAUGAAGGCCCUAGGGUUGUAAAGCUCUUUCACCGGUGAAGAUAAUGACGGUAACCGGAGAAGAAGCCCCGGCUAACUUCGUGCCAGCCGCCACGGUAAAAC